AUGUGAUUCAGCGUUCUCUAACCCUAACCCUCACCAUCGUCGGAAGAUACCAGCGAUUUGAUCCGUAAUACAACCCUUGCAUCAUACCACUCUCUCUCUCUACCAACCAUCGCUCUCACAAACCCUAUCUCCUCGCAGAUGUGAUUCAGCGUUCUCUAACCCUAACCCUCACCAUCGCCGGAAGAUACCAGCGAUUUGAUCCGUAAUACAUUACAACUGUGAUGAUACCCUAAUGGAAUAGAGUGCCUUGAUAACGAUUAUGGUUUGAUUUUUCUUCUGGCAGUUCAUUUGCUUUCAAAAUUCAAGAUAAGAGGGGUCGUAUGCACAUAUUUAUUAGUGAAGGUGCAAUGGAUGUUGUACCUUUCUCAGCUGAAAAAGAAGGCUGGCGGAACUCUUGCGUUAGUCAAACAAGGUCAAGACAAGAUAAAGUCAACCCCAGCAGGGGAAUAUCUUACAUCGGCUCUGAAUGAUUUUGACCUGGAACAUUAUGAUGGUCUCGCAGCUAUUUCUGAUGGAACAAACAAGCUACUAAUGCUGGUUUUGGCUGCUGUUAUUAAAGCAGGUGCUUCACGAGAACAUGAAAUACUUGCUGA
rnacentral:lncRNA from 1 species